rnacentral:rRNA from 1 species
AUGGCUGUGUCGUCGUCGCGGCUGCCACGUUGGGCGCCCACGACCAGUCCGUCACGGUCACUCUGGCGUUGGGGCGGCGCUACAGAUGAUGCACGAACCGGCUCCGGCGGCACAGGCUGGUCGCUAAGUCGAAUAUUCUCGUGGGCGAGCGGCUGGCGGCGUAGGCCGGCGGCUUUUGACGGCGUUGAGGUAGCGCCGACAACAGCGGCAGCGGCGGUGGCGCCUACGCCAAACCGACGAUGGGCGGGCAGGGAUGACGACCCCGGAGUGUUCCUGACGUGGGAGGAUGUAUGCGUCACGGCGGCCGGCGGGGGGCGCCGGCCGCCGGUGAGCAUCCUGAGCGGGAUCAGCGGGCAUGCGGCGCCGGGAGAGGUGCUCGCCAUCAUGGGGCCGUCCGGCUGCGGCAAGACCACGCUUCUUGAUACUCUCGCAGGACGGCUAGGGCCUGGAGUUACUGAAACCGGGUUCAUUUUGAUUAAUGGACGCCGGGAGAAACUUGCCUUUGGAACCUCGGCUUAUGUGACCCAAGACAACGUGUUGAUGCCGACGAUGUCGGUGCGCGAGGCCAUGUACUACUCGGCGCAGCUGCAGUUGCCGGACACGAUGUCGGCGGCGGAGAAGCGCGCGCAUGCGGACGUUGUAAUUCAGGAGAUGGGGCUCGGCGACGCCAUGGACACACGCAUCGGCGGGCAGACGAGCAAGGGCAUCAGCGGCGGGCAGCGGAAGCGGGUGACCAUCUGCAUUGAGAUGCUCACAAGGCCACGGCUGCUCUUCCUAGACGAGCCCACCAGCGGGCUUGACAGUGCCACCUCCUACCACGUCAUGACCCACAUUGCCAGGAUCGCUGCCAGGGAGGGCAUGACCGUCGUCGCCGCCAUGCACCAGCCCAGCGGCGACGUCUUUGACCUCUUCCACGGCCUCUGCCUGCUUGCCUACGGCAGGACGGUCUUCUUCGGAGCAGCAUCCGAUGCCACCCAGUUCUUUGCUCAAAAUGGGUUCCCAUGUCCACACGUGAGGAACCCAUCUGACCACUUCCUGAGAACAGUGAACAAAGAUUUUGACGAGGAAACUGUUGAAAGCUCCAGAGCUAGGAGAAAAAGGGCAGCUGAAGCAAUAGACAUUCUGACACAUGCUUAUCAGUCCCCCGCUUAUUCAGAAAAAACAAUGAACCGGAUAGCUGAGAUGAAAGGGAUAGGUGGAGCUCCAUUUCGAAAGAGGGAACAAGCCAGCUUCUCAACAAAGCUCUUUGUACUCACCAGAAGGUCAUUUAUAAAUAUGCACAGAGACAUAGGAUACUAUUGGAUGCGUUUUGGUGUUUACCUAGGCAUGGGCAUUUGUAUUGGUACUGUAUUCUACCAACUUGGAAACACUUACAGUUCUAUCCAGUCUAGAUGUGAAGUAAUAAUGUAUAUGAUCAUACUUGUUACAUUCAUGGCUGUUGGAGGAUUCCCUUCUUUUGUAGAGGACGUAAAGGUAUUCAGAAGAGAGAGGCUGAGCGGCCAUUACGGUGUGGCAGAGUUUGUGAUCUCAAAUACAUUGUCAGCCACUCCAUACCUGACCGUCAUCUCCUUGAUCCCGGGUGCAGCAUUGUACUACCUUACGGGUUUAACCAAAGGGGCUGACCGCCUUGCCUACUUUGUCAUCAACCUAUGCAUGUGCACGUUCCUGGUCGAGAGCAUGAUGAUGAUCAUCGCUGUUAUCGUCCCAGACUUCCUGAUGGGAAUAAUAGUCGGGGCUGGAGUGCAAGGGCUGAUGAUGCUCAAUAGUGGCUUCUACCGCCUUCCCAAGGAUCUCCCAAAACCGGUGUGGAAGUACCCUUUCUACUACAUCUCCUUCCACAAGUAUGCAGUGCAGGGAUCCUACAAAAACGAGUUCAUUGGGCAGACUUUCCCGGGCGACCAGUUUAUUGAGAAAAAUGUCACCAUCAGUGGCCUUCAGGUGCUGCAGGAGAAGCUGCAGGUGGAGAUGGGGUACUCCAAAUGGGUCGAUAUUGCUAUCCUUUGUGGAAUGAUAGUGGUGUACAGGGUGGUGUUCUUUGCUAUUGUCAAGAUCGCGGAGAAAGCCAGGGCAAAACAAAGGGGAAUGAGAUGCAAAUGGUGA